rnacentral:rRNA from 1 species
UACAGAGGUCUCAAGCGUUGUUCGGAUUCAUUGGGCGUAAAGGGUGUGUAGGUGGCGCGCUAAGUCGGGUGUGAAAUUUCGGAGCUUAACUCCGAAACUGCAUUCGAUACUGGCGUGCUUGAGGACUGGAGAGGAGACUGGAAUUCCAGGUGUAGCGGUGAAAUGCGUAGAUAUCUGGAGGAACACCGGUGGCGAAGGCGGCGUUCUGGACUGCAACUGACACUGAGGAACGAAAGCCAGGGGAGCAAACGGG